AUGCUUGGAAGGAACCCGGCGCUUGUUCCCCCGCCCCGGCUGGCCGCCCACAACCAGUCCUCCGUCAUCUCCACACCGCGCCCUCCGACCGCCCCCGAGCCCCCGCCACCUCCGCACCGCGCCCUCCGACCGCCCCAGAGCCCCCGCCACCUCCACACCGCGCCCUCCGACCGUCCCAGAGCCCCCGCCGCCGCCGCCUUGAGGACCCCCUCGCCGGUGCGCCACAACUACCACCAGGACUCAGAGGCCGCCAUCAACCGCCAGCUCAACCUCGAGCUCUGCGCCUCCUACGUUUACCCGUCCAUGUCUUACUACUUUGACCGCGAUGAUGUGGCUUUGAAGAACUUUGCCAGGUACUUUCUUCACCAGUCUCAUAAGGAGAGGGAGCAUGCCAAGAAACUGAUGAAGCUGCAGAACCAACGAGGUGGCCGCGUCUUCCUUCAGGAUGUCAAGAAACCAGAUCAUGAUGACUGGGAGAGCGAGCUGAAUGCGACGGAGUGUGCAUUGCAUUUGGGAAAAAAUGCAAAUCAGUCACUACUGGAGCUGCACAAACUGGCCCCUGACAAAAAUGACCCCCAUUUGUGUGACUUCAUUGAGACAUUACCUGUAUGAGCAGGUGAAAUCCAUCAAAGAAUUGGGUGACCACGUGACCAACUUGCACAAGAUAGGAGCACCCCAAACUGGCUUGCAGAAUAUCUCUUUGACAAGCACACCCUGGGAGACAGUGAUAAUGAAAGCUAAGCCUUAGGCUAAUUUCCCCAUAGCCACAGGGUGACUUCCCUGGUCACCAAGGCAGUGCAUGCAUGUUGGGGUUUCCUUUACCUUUUCUAUAAGUUGUACCAAAACAUCCACUUAAGUUCUUUGUACCAUUCCUUCAAAUAAAGAAAUUUGGUACC